UAAUUUUUUUCUCUAAAAUACAAAAGCCUACCAAAUCAAGACCGGAGAUGAAACUUUGUAGUACAGAUAAGCGCAGUCAAUUCAUACGAUGUGAUUACCUUGAUGGAACAAGGCAGAGCGGCGAAGUCGAAAUCUCAAUUUCUCUCACUAAUUCUUUUUGUUAAGUUCCUAAGAGUUCUACAUUAGUCUUUAUAAGAAGGGCUGAUUUGUAUAAAAAAUAAAGUAUUCGAAUCUUCACGGGCAUUCACCUGUAGUAAAGAAGUAGCAAAAUUAGAGUGGGAAAAAGAGGGAUUCAUAAGUAAUGAAGUAGCAUUUAAAGUUUUAAAAAAAGAACAGGAAUCCUAAGUAGUCUUAUAAAGAAACAGUCCACCCCCUUCACAAUAUCCUUUCAUAAGAUGAAUGAAUUCUACCAUAUAUACUCAUCAAGUACAAAGUGUAGUUUAAAGCAAAAACAUGAUAAACUACUUGAACAUCAAGAACAUACAACCAUAGAACUCCCCGUCGAAACAUCUCUGCAUUCCAAAAAGCACAUACACCAAAAAAUAUUUCCAAGUUGUAUUCAGUUUCUUUGCGAGUACAAUACUCCAAAUGCAAAAAAAUUAUAAGACGUCUAAUGUACCGAAUCAUCAUAAGAUGUGACAUGGGACUCCUGGAUCAAUUUUCAUAUCUUAUAAAAUACUACAAAAAUCAACAUAUGAAAGAAGGGAGAAACUUGUUUGGAUUUGGCAGUAUCAGCUUAAAGUAGUAUUUACCUUGUUUCGACUGCGGGAUUGUAUUUAUUAGGUUCAAUUAUGGGGUGUUGGCGGCAGAGCUCAAGUUACUCUGUUUAAGUUUCUUAAAUAUUUGUAGAAAGGUAUUGUUUAACUAAGUAAAUGGAAGUGCAUUGAAGCUGGGAAAAAAAUGUGCGGUCAUAGUUCAUGGAUGGGGGUAAUUUCUGAUUCAUUUUCUUACUGGAAAACUGUUGCAAUAAAUUAAUUGAAAGAAUAUUAUUUUCUCAACAAUGCCCUUAUAGCUCACAGUAGAGUACUGUGCAACCUUUUGCACUUAUUAUUUUCACCACCAAACAUAUGAAAAGAAGCUAGCCAAGACAACUUCUUUCAAUUUCAAUCAAAUAAAAAAUUGUCCAAAUGAAAUGAAAACAUUGCAUGUUUCUUCCUAACAAAUAAGAAGAAUGAGAAAUCCAAAGUGCAAAGUGGAAGCUUAGAAAGAGAGUAGCACAAACUUACAGUAAAUGUAAGAGUCUGUACAUAUUUAUUGCCCGACGAAAAAACAAAUUACCUUUUUCAAUCCUUUUUCAAAUAUAAUGCAUAUUAUAUUAUUCAGUAGUUCUGUCCAGUAGAAGUAAGUAAUCUACUAUUGGGGUUGUUGGAUGAUAGAUCUUUACACCAUAGAACACCUACGGAAAAAGGAACAGAAUUACUCAAUACUAUCGCCAAACAUCUUUGAUGCAUCAAAGUUCUUCCCUUUUUAUUAAGUAUUAUACUAUUUUCUCUUCCUGAGGGUGAAUUCAUUGUACUUCCAUAUAAGAGUUGGAAGAACCAACCACAUGCAUGUACAAAAUCCACUUAGAAAACGCGAUAAGAGUAAAGAGCAUAUAUAAAUCAAAUAAGAAAAACUAUACACAUUAUACUAAAAAUAAAAAAUAAAGCAAAAUGCAAGGAAAAUUUCAGGCAGAAUGAAGAUUAUAAAUCAAUAUUCUUUUAAAAAAAAAAUUGAAUCACAUGUUUACAUGCCCAUCGAGAAAUAACAAAUAAACACUAUGCAAAAUCGAAAAUCUCCACGGAACCAAAAUGUAGUAAUAUUGAAAUGAAUUCAGAAUUCAAAGCCAAAAGUAGGAGUAAUCAAAACAAAUGCAUAAGAUUUAUAAGACAAAGAGAAAAGGAGUCGUUCAAGAUGGAGACUUACUUCCUCUCUUGCUCAACUUACUUCCUCUCUUGCUCAACUUCAUAUGCAUGUGCAGACGGUUCACAAAAGAACCAAAGCCACAAAAAUUUCUAUAAUGCUGGCCAAAUUUGUGGAAAAUUGGAAAAAAUCAAAGGCAGCAGAAAUUUUAGACUGCACAGUAAGCUUCUCCGAGAGAGGAGCAGAAGAAAUUGAAGAGCUAAGAUGAACACCAGAGGAAAAAGGCAAUGAAAUUUGAGACCCACAAACAGAAAAUUACAGAAAUGAUAAUGAGAAAGAGGAGAAAAGAGAGAAGAAUGACAGAGUGAGAAAUAAGAAUGACAAGAAAUAAGAAUGACAGAGUGAGAAAUAAGAAUGAGAGAAACGAAGAGAAAAUGGGUAUCAUCGCAAGUUCCAAUAGCGUUCCAAGCCAGAUGUCUCACUUGUUAACAUGUGUCAGCAUGAAAGAGCCAUGUUACAGUAGUGUUUGGCCCAAGUUAUCGUACAAUUUAGGGUGUUUUUUGUACAACUUUUUGAAGUUGUGUUCGUACACCUUAUUCACUUAUAUAUAGUAGAAAUACUACCUCUCUGAUAUUUGCUGAUAGAUAUGAUCAUCAAGAUCGAAACAUUUUUGUCUCUCUAAAAUCUAAAGGUAUUUCUGUACCAUAAGUCUUGGAUCCUCACCUUAGGCUGUUUCAUUAAAUUAUGAAAGAAGGGCUUUAGCCUUAACAGUAAGGUCUCUUUCUUGAAGUUACAAUCUUUUCAUAGAUAUUUUCCUGUCAAACGACACAAAUAUAGUAAAAACAUUCAUGAAUCUUGAAUAUCUAAGUUAAGCAUGAAACCAUGGAAACACAUUUAACUACUUCCCAAACAAUGAAUAUGCAACUGGUCAGCAUAUAUUAUCAAAGGAUAAGUCGAGUUCAUAGUAAUUCCUAUUACAUCUCCUACAUUUUUUCUUUCCUUAGUAGGACUACAAUUAACUUGUAUUUCGAUACUAUGGACAGACGUAAGGAACUCAAGAAUUUAGGGAGGACAACACAAAUUAUAGCAUAAAUAACAACAACAAUGAUCUUGAAGAAAUAGAAACAAACGUAAUAUUAUAUUACGUAGAAAGCAGGGGAAAAGAAAGAAGCAUGUGAUGAAAACAUAUUUUGUCAAAAAAUAAUAUUAAAAAGGAAACAUAAAAAACUUCGUAAAAUGAAACUCACCAUGCCUCUGUAGAACACAGUUAAACCUUGUGUAGGUAGUGAAAGAAUUAAAUAAUAUCAAUUAUUGAAGGGAAGAGUAAGCUGGCCUGAAAACAAAUAGCAGCUCUCAGUUAUCCAGGUCUAGAAAACAAUACAUAGUUCUAAUAUUUUACCAAUAUUAACCAAUUCACAAAAUAAAACCAUCUUCAACUCCAAAUAUUUUACCAAUAUUAACCAAUUCACAAAAUAAAACCAUCUUCAACUCCACUAAUUCACAAGUGUCAGAAAUAUCUCAUCUGCAUAAAGAUUCAAAUUCUCUAAAUUCUAAAUAACAGUGACAGAUGGUUUUAACAAAUUUUGGAACUUAGUUGGCAUUAGACCGAGCGAUUUUAUUACGUUUCCAUAUCAAAAAUAGCUAAACGCCCAAGAUUGUCAAGAAAAUAGUUUUCUAAAAAUCAAUAUAAAAAUUUUCAGAAGUACUUAUAACUUUGAAAGCAACAAAAUUAAAACGCAUAUGCCUUGAGCAUAAUGCAAGAGGAGAUCAACCAGUUCCAAGUAGCCAGCAGAUUAGUUUAAAUAUUUUUGAAAAUUAUUGUAUUUAAAGGAAACCUACGAAUGAAGGUCUAUUUCCCGUUCAGUUUGAAAACUAAGGUAGCUAAAUAUCUUCUUGAAAGCAACUCAAGGAAUUAAGUAUUGUCAUUUCAAGAUCUUUCUAAUCCUCUCAAAGGAGAUAUCGGGCGCAAUGCUCAGGAUGUAUUCCUAAGUCUCAAUCUCCUUAAUAAGCUUUCAUCUCACUACUCAAUUACCAGGAUAGCAAAGAUUCUGAAACAGUUUCAGAUGCAAUGCUUUUGAUUAUAGUAUCUUCAAAUUAUAUUUCUCCAUAAAUCUUUAAGACUUAAGAUAUCUUCAGAUUUUGAACAUCAAAAGAUUCAAAUUGAUUAGUCCCAUGUAUGCUUAUGAGUCAUGAUAACUACAAAAUGCUUAUGAGUCAUGAUAACUACAAAAUGCCUAGUUAAUUGUAGGCAAACGGACAACAAUAUCUCGCACAAUUUUUUUUUCAACUGAGCAGAUGCCUAUAGCAAAAUUUCAGCAGUAAGUAAUAGCACGAUAAAGCGAGAAAUUAAAUCAGUUUGGUUUCUAUAUUUAAGUACCCUCGACCUUGACAGGGUCACAAGUCACAACACUAAAAAAAGAUUCUACCAAGGUUAUGUACUAAGAAGAAUAGAUAUCAUAAGAAACUUUUAACUGAAAAAAUUGCUGCAGAUCGCUUCCACCAAUAAGUGCUUAUGUUUCCC
rnacentral:lncRNA from 1 species